GACGAACGCUGGCGGCGUGCUUAACACAUGCAAGUCGAACGGAAAGGCCCUGCUUUUGUGGGGUGCUCGAGUGGCGAACGGGUGAGUAACACGUGAGUAACCUGCCCUUGACUUUGGGAUAACUUCAGGAAACUGGGGCUAAUACCUGAUAGGAGCUCCUGCUGCAUGGUGGGGGUUGGAAAGUUUCGGCGGUUGGGGAUGGACUCGCGGCUUAUCAGCUUGUUGGUGGGGUAGUGGCUUACCAAGGCUUUGACGGGUAGCCGGCCUGAGAGGGUGACCGGCCCCAUGGGGCCUGAGAUACGGCCCAGACUCCUACGGGGGGCAGCGGUGGGGAAUAUUGCACAAUGGGCGGAAGCCUGAUGCAGCAACGCCGCGUGCGGGAUGACGGCCUUCGGGUUGUAAACCGCUUUCGCCUGUGACGAAGCGUGAGUGACGGUAAUGGGUAAAGAAGCACCGGCUAACUACGUG
rnacentral:rRNA from 1 species